rnacentral:rRNA from 1 species
CCUACGGAGGGCUGCAGUGGGGAAUAUUGGACAAUGGGGGCAACCCUGAUCCAGCCAUGCCGCGUGUGUGAAGAAGGCCCUCGGGUUGUAAAGCACUUUCAGUGAGGAAGAACGCCUGGUGGUUAAUACCCAUCAGGAAAGACAUCACUCACAGAAGAAGCACCGGCUAACUCCGUGCCAGCAGCCGCGGUAAUACGGAGGGUGCGAGCGUUAAUCGGAAUUACUGGGCGUAAAGCGCGCGUAGGUGGCUUGAUAAGCCGGUUGUGAAAGCCCCGGGCUCAACCUGGGAACGGCAUCCGGAACUGUCAAGCUAGAGUGCAGGAGAGGAAGGUAGAAUUCCCGGUGUAGCGGUGAAAUGCGUAGAGAUCGGGAGGAAUACCAGUGGCGAAGGCGGCCUUCUGGACUGACACUGACACUGAGGUGCGAAAGCGUGGGUAGCAAACAGGAUUAGAUACCCUAGUAGUC